rnacentral:ncRNA from 1 species
AUAAACCCAGAGAAUGUGAGGAAUAGUGACAGUUGCCGUACAGAGAGAAAGACCAAAGCUGGAAGGUCUUUUCGGGAAUACACUAAGGUCGCACAGGAGGGGCAGAGGGGAAUAGAGUACUCUUUGACGGAAAAACCCGUUAGCGAUGCCAAGAGCUGGGAUUUCUUCUCAGAAUAAAGGUGGUACCACGGAAGCUUUUCGUCCUUUGA